rnacentral:rRNA from 1 species
CUCGAGGACGAACGCUGGCGGUGUGCUUCACACAUGCAAGUCGAACGAGGUAGCAAUACCUAGUGGCGGACGGGUGAGUAACGCGUGGGAAUCUGCCUUUAGAUGGGGGAUAACGGGUCGAAAGACUCGCUAAUACCGCAUAUGACGAAAGUUGAAAGGAGUAAUCCGUCUAAAGAUGAGCCCGCGUCCGAUUAGCUAGUUGGUAGAGUAAAAGCCUACCAAGGCGACGAUCGGUAGCUGGUCUGAGAGGAUGAUCAGCCACAAUGGGACUGAGACACGGCCCAUACUCCUACGGGAGGCAGCAGUGGGGAAUUUUACGCAAUGGGCGAAAGCCUGACGUAGCGACACCGCGUGAGCGAAGAAGCCCCUUGGGGUGUAAAGCUCUGUCAGCUGGAACGAAAAAAUGACGGUACCAGCAGAGGAAGCAUCGGCUAACUACGUG